AGUGAACGCUGGCGGUAGGCCUAACACAUGCAAGUCGAACGGCAGCACAGUAAGAGCUUGCUCUUACGGGUGGCGAGUGGCGGACGGGGGAGGUAUACAGCGGAAUCUACUUUUUCGUGGGGGAUAACGUAGGGAAACUUACGCUAAUACCGCAUACGACCUACGGGUGAAAGCAGGGGAUCUUCGGACCUUGGGCGAACGAAUGAGCCGAUGUCGGAUUAGCUAGUUGGCGGGGUAAAGGCCCACCAAGGCGGCGAUCCGUAGCUGGUCUGAGAGGAUGAUCAGCCACACUGGAACUGAGACACGGUCCAGACUCCUACGGGAGGCAGCAGUGGGGAAUAUUGGACAAUGGGCGCAAGCCUGAUCCAGCCAUACCGCGUGGGUGAAGAAGGCCUUCGGGUUGUAAAGCCCUUUUGUUGGGAAAGAAAAGCAGCAGGUUAAUACCCCGCUGUUCUGACGGUACCCAAAGAAUAAGCACCGGCUAACUUCGUG
rnacentral:rRNA from 1 species